rnacentral:rRNA from 1 species
GAUGAACGCUGGCGGCGUGCCUAAUACAUGCAAGUCGAGCGAACGGACGAGAAGCUUGCUUCUCUGAUGUUAGCGGCGGACGGGUGAGUAACACGUGGAUAACCUACCUAUAAGACUGGGAUAACUUCGGGAAACCGGAGCUAAUACCGGAUAAUAUCUUGAACCGCAUGGUUCAAAAGUGAAAGACGGUCUUGCUGUCACUUAUAGAUGGAUCCGCGCUGCAUUAGCUAGUUGGUAAGGUAACGGCUUACCAAGGCAACGAUGCAUAGCCGACCUGAGAGGGUGAUCGGCCACACUGGAACUGAGACACGGUCCAGACUCCUACGGGAGGCAGCAGUAGGGAAUCUUCCGCAAUGGGCGAAAGCCUGACGGAGCAACGCCGCGUGAGUGAUGAAGGUCUUCGGAUCGUAAAACUCUGUUAUUAGGGAAGAACAUAUGUGUAAGCAACUGUGCACAUCUUGACGGUACCUAAUCAGAAAGCCACGGCUAACUACGUG